rnacentral:lncRNA from 1 species
AUAAAUUAAAGUUAACCAGCAAAUGAAAAAUUAACCAUUCUUCGGAUCCUCUAAAAUAAUAAAGUGAAAACAUACAGAACUUAUCUAAACUAUGAAUUAUUUUGAACUAGCUAUUCAAUUUUUCAAAAUCUCACUUGAUUUUACUAUCAAAUCUUUCAAUUUAUUUAAUUUUAGUCAGUCAAGCAUUUUGACUUCAAAAUUUGAAUGUGUUAUUUAUCUUUAUAAAUUUAGUUGGUAUAUUUUAUGCAACACUCGCAACUAUAUAUUUAUUAAACUAAAUAAUUAGCUUAAUUUUAAAUUCAAAGAAUUGUUGGCUCACUCAAAUUAUAUAAAUUGAAAGACUUGAUAGUAAAAUUUAAAAUUUAAAAUAUUAAAUAGUUAAUCUAAAAUGAUUCAUAAUUCAGAUAAAUUUAAUAUAUUUUUUUAAAUAAUUAUAAAAUAAAUUCCUAAUUUAAAUGUUGGUUUUGGU